rnacentral:lncRNA from 1 species
GCUGUCUACGCCGCAGCUUGUGGCUGGAUCCUUUACCUGCUGGGCCAGGCCAGGGAUUGAACCCACAUCCUCACAGAGAUAGUGUCAGGUCCUUAACCCACUGAGCCACAAUGGGAACUUCUGUUUGAAUUUUAAAUAGUCUUCAUUGGGAUUGUGAAUUAGUCAGAAACACAUGUUUAGCUCAGAAAAGGUAGAGUCUGUCUUUGUUUGAUGUGGAAAUUGAAUCGGGUGCUCUGGGAGGAUUUGCAUCCUUUGUCUUUGAUGCUGUUAUCUCCUCCCUGGAAUUAUGGCAAAAGAUGCAGCCAGGCGGAACAUCUGUACUCUUCCCAUCCCAGUGAGUUGGCUCUGAAGUCGUGGCCAUUGUCCCUGCAACCCGCUCCUUUACUGGUGGGCGUCUCGGCAGAAACCAUCAGCCGGCAGCCUGGCUGGGCGAUGUGCGUGAAGGAGUUGCUUGAAACUCCUCCCUCAUUAACUCCAGGCAGAUUGCUAGAGAAAAUAUUCGGGAGUUCAGAGGGUUUGUUUUGAUAACAGAAAACAAAUUUAAUCAGUGUAUGACAUCUUGUUUGUACAGUAGUCACAUCGCAUGUAUUUUCUGUCCUUGGGGAAGGAGGGGUCCUGUCUGGUUGGUAAGGCACCCAGUCCUCCUUGAACUUGUGGCUCACUUCCUCCAGUGGGUACAGAUCAGAGAGAACGAGGUCUGUUUUCUAAGUACAUUAAAUUUUGCACAUUUUCUUUUUGGCGGGAUAAGCGAGGGUGGUGGACAAAAGGAAAGGGGCAUCAUUUUUUAGCUCUAUUUUAGUUUGGAAAAAAAAUACUGUGUUUCUUCCUGCAGUAGUGGAUGUUCAUUAUUUUAUUUAUUUAUUUAUUUAGUCUUUUUGCCUUUUCUAGGGCUGCUUCCGCGGCAUAUGGAGGUUCCCAGGCUGGGGUCGAAUCAGAGCUGUAGCCGUCGGCCUACGCCAGAUUCACAGCAACGCCAGAUCCGAGCCGCGUCUGGGACCUACACCACAGCUCAGGUGGGUUAAGGAUCUGGGGUUGCCGCGAACUGUGGUGUAGGUUGCAGAUUUGACUUGGGUCCCGCGUUGCUGUGGCUGUGAUGUAAGCCGGCAGCUGUAUCUCUGAUUCGACCCCUAGCCUGGGAGCCUCCANAAAAAAAAAAAAAAAAAAAAAAAAAAAGAAUGAUCUAGACAUUCUGCUGGCAAAAUGUAUCUACUCGGCUUGGAUAACAGGGCACGCCAUGGUUGCAGAUUCGGCUAAGAUCUUGCAUCGCUGUGGUGUAACCUGAAGCUGUAGCUCCGAUUAGACCCCUAGCCUGGGAGCCUCCAUAUGCCGCAGGUGCGGCCCUAAAAAGACCAAAAAUAAAUAAAGGGAGAACUGAAACAUUCAGAGAGCUCAAAAAUUCACUCAUAAUCUCACCAACCUGAAAUAACAGUUAUUAUGUUUCAGUGACUAUCAUUCAAGAUAUGUCUCUGAUAUAGACAAGGUUAGGUCAGGAGGUAGAAGGGCAACUAUGUUGAUAAGUAAAAAACAAUUUUUUUUGAUAGGCAAGAAAUAGAUUUAUUAAGGUAAGGCACCUGUGAGUGACACAAGCAGGCAGGCAUGGUAGCUCUGCCCCAGGAUCAGGUGAGCCACACCUUUAUCGCCAGACCCUUAACCCACUGAGCAAGGCCAGGGAUCAAACCCGAAACCUCAUGGUUCCUAGUCGGAUUCGUUAACCACUGCGCCAUGAUGGGAACUCCUGUAACUAUUUUUAAAUUAGAUUUUUUAAAGUAGGUUGAUGGGAGUUCCCAUUGAGGCUCAGAGGGUUAAGAUACUGACUAGUAUCCAUGAAGAUCCCUGGCUUCAUUCAGUGGGAUAAGAAUCCAGUGUUGCCACAAGCUCUGCUGUGGCUGUGGUAUAGGCUGGCAGUUGCAGCUCAUUUUUAACUCCUAGUCUGGGAACUUCCACACAGUGCAGGUUCAGCCCUAAAAAGAAAAAAAAAAAAAAAAGAGGCAAAGCAGAUUGCUGGCUUUUUGAUUUUUGCUUAAUUGCCUGGAUUUAACUGUCAAGUAGUUGUUUUUCUAAGAGGCUUUUUUUAUGUCUUAGUUUCUGCCUAUUUGAGAAUGUCUGCCCUUUCUUGUUUGAUAGAUAAUUUGGGUAUAAAAAUCUUGAAUAAACUUUUCUUUUCCUAGGACUUUGUAGAUUAUCUCUUGCUAGAGAUGCAUCAGAGCCCAGCCUGAUUUUUCCACUUACUGGGUGACUUGCUUUUUCUACUAGGAUGCCUAUAGGAUUACUUAUUUUUUCUUUCUCUCUCUCUCUUUCUCUCCACUGUAUUUAUUAAAGUAUAACAUACGUAAUACAAGUUCAUAUAUAAGUUCCACAUUGUGGCUCAGUGGAUUAAGAAUGAGACUAGUAUCCUUGAGCACGUGGGUUCGAUCCCUGGCCUUGCUCAGUGGGUUAAGGUUCUGGUGUUGCCACAAGCUGCAGAUGUGGCUUCGCUCUGGUGUGGCUGUGGCUGUGGCUCUGGGGUUGGCCAGCAGCUGCAGCUCUGAUCGACCCCUAGCUUGGGAACUUCCAUGUGCCAUGGAUGUGGCCCUAAAAAGACCAAAAAAAAAAAA